rnacentral:rRNA from 1 species
AGCGAACGCUGGCGGCAGGCCUAACACAUGCAAGUCGAACGAACUCUUCGGAGUUAGUGGCGGACGGGUGAGUAACACGUGGGAACGUGCCUUUUGGUUCGGAAUAACUCAGGGAAACUUGUGCUAAUACCGAAUGUGCCCUUCGGGGGAAAGAUUUAUCGCCAUUAGAGCGGCCCGCGUCUGAUUAGCUAGUUGGUGAGGUAACGGCUCACCAAGGCGACGAUCAGUAGCUGGUCUGAGAGGAUGACCAGCCACACUGGGACUGAGACACGGCCCAGACUCCCACGGGAGGGAGGCGGGGGGGAUCCUGCCCAAUUGGCGGAAGGCCGACGGCGGCCAGGCGGGUGAAUUAUGGAGGUCGUAAGAUUGGAAAAAUUUUUUACCGGGGACGAUAAAGACGGGAACCGGAGAAGAAGGCCCGGCUAAACUUGGG